AACGAACGCUGGCGGCAUGCCUAACACAUGCAAGUCGAACGAGACCUCCCGGUCUAUUUGCGCACCUGUGCGUAACGCGGGGGAACUUGCCCUUAGGUUCGGAAUAACUCCCUGAAGGGGGUCCUAAUACCGCAUAAUGUAUUCGGACCAACGAUCUACCGCUUUGGGGUGGGCCCGCGUUGGAUUAGCCAGUUGGGAGGGUAAAAGCCUACCAAGGCGACGAUCCAUAGCUGGUCGGAGAGGAAGAUCAGCCACACUGGGACAGGGACACGGCCCAGACUCCUGGGGGAGGCAGCAAUGGGGAAAAUAGGACAAGGGGCGAAAGCCUGAUCCGGCACGGCCGGGAGAGCGAUGAAGGCGUUGGGAUUGUAAUGCGCUUUUACCCGAGCUGAUAAGAACAGAACCGGUAAAAUAGGCUCGGGCAAACUCCGU
rnacentral:rRNA from 1 species